GUGAGUGAAAAAGGUUGAGGAGGCUUGUAUUUAUGGGCAAAACACAACCAACAAGAAAACAGUUUUUCACCAAUCCACAGUUGAUCAUCGACCACAGGUCAUCAAGAUUUGUCAUUUAGCUUGUUUUGAAUUCUCGUACAUAGUUCAAUGACUAUAUUCAUCCUUCAACACCUUUUACACACCCAUACCUCUGAUCCUUGAGUUCUUAAAGCAACCAUUUGACCUCCAUCAAGAAUUGUGAUUACUUUUCAAAGCAUGUUGAUGGUUUGGUAAAGUGUGGUUGAUUUCUUUCCAUUUUAGAUAAGAUUUUGUCUCCCACUAUAAUUAUAUCCCACAAAAUGGAAAGAACUCAACUAUACCUUUUUAGUUUUGAAUUUCAAAGUCACUCCAAUUAGUUUCAAGCUAAAUCAAUUCCUUCAAGAAUUGUGUUUACUUUUCAAAGCAUGUUGACGGUUUGGUAAAGUGUGGUUGAUUUCUUUCCGUUUUAGAUAAGACUUUGUCUCCCACUAUAACUAUACCUUUUCAAUUUUGAAUUGCAAAGUCACUCUAAUUAGUUUCAAGCUAAAUCAAUUCCUUCGGGACUUUACCUCUUGUUAUUAGAUAAAUCUUAAUUAAUUAUCUUGUUGUUAAGCCUUGUUUAAUUUAUCUCUCUAAUCCUCAAUCCAUUUACUUGAUGUAUAAUGCUUUGAUCCUUGUAUGUUGUAGAUGAUUUCCCGUUCUUAAUCUUUGUAGACUUAGAAUCUUCAUGUUAUGCUUUGAUCUGUAACCUUUUCAUAUGAUUAUAAUCUUCAUAUUGUAUACUUUGAUCCUCGUACUUGGUAGUAUGUGGUGAUCUUUGUAUUUUGUGAAUCAUUAAGUGUUAAAUGACAUGUAUGUGGUAUAUGCACAUCCUUAAUCAACAUUCAUCAACAUAAGUAAUAAGUUCAAGACAUUAUUAAGACAUGGAAUUAUUUGGAAUUUAAUCAUUUCAUAAUUUUCUUAAUCCUUUGUAUGCCUUGAUUUGUGUAAUGUAUCCCAUGUGACUAAGAGGGUGUUUGCGAUUACGUUUUGAAGAGAUUAUUUGAUUAUUGCGUUUGUAAAACAUAAAUAAUCUAAAAAAAGUGUUUGGAUGAAAAAGUGAUUAUCUGCCUCCAAAACGCAGUUUUGGAGAAUCAUGUACCUACAUGCUUUUUCAAAACGCAGUUUUGAAAACGCAAAAUCUAUUUGAAAACGCAAAAUCUAUUUGAAAACGCAUAAUCUAUUUUGAAAACGCAACACCAAACACCCCCUAAAUUUAAGAGAAAAUAAUU
rnacentral:lncRNA from 1 species